UAUAGGACAGGGGGACAGGGAGCUCUUUCACACCACACGCGCACACACACACACACACACAAUGCAUCCCUAUACACACACAAACACAACAUGCUUCCCUUACACACAGAGAAACACACAAUGCAACCCUUACACAUAAAGACAAUGCAUCCUUUGCACAUAUACACAGAACACACACAAUGCAUCCCUUACACACACUCAACACACCCCUUACAGACACACACACUGCAUCCCUUACAUACACAGAAACAUACUUUGCAU